GAUGAACGCUAGCGGCAGGCCUAACACAUGCAAGUCGAGGGGCAGCACGUCUUCGGAUGGGUGGCGACCGGCGCACGGGUGCGUAACGCGUAUGCAACCUACCUGUACUGAGGGAUAGCCCGGAGAAAUUCGGAUUAAUACCUCAUAGUAUUAUUUUAUCGCAUGAUAAUGAUAAUUAAAGGUUACGGUACAGGAUGGGCAUGCGUCCUAUUAGCUAGAUGGUAAGGUAACGGCUUACCAAGGCGACGAUCAGUAGGGGAUGUGAGAGCAUGAUCCCCCACACGGGUACUGAGACACGGACCCGACUCCUACGGGAGGCAGCAGUAAGGAAUAUUGGACAAUGGUCGGAAGACUGAUCCAGCCAUGCCGCGUGAAGGAUGAAGGCGCUCAGCGUUGUAAACUUCUUUUGUACGGGAACAAAAUGCGACCUGCGGGUUGUACUGAGGGUACCGUAAGAAUAAGCACCGGCUAACUCCGUG
rnacentral:rRNA from 1 species